rnacentral:misc_RNA from 1 species
GAUGAAGAACGUAGCGAAAUGCGAUAAGUAAUGUGAAUUGCAGAAUUCAGUGAAUCAUCGAAUCUUUGAACGCACAUUGCGCCCGCCAGUAUUCUGGCGGGCAUGCCUGUCUGAGCGUCAUUUCAACCCUCAUGCCCCUAGGGCGUGGUGUUGGGGAUCGGCCAAAGCCCGCGAGGGACGGCCGGCCCCUAAAUCUAGUGGCAGACCCGUCGUGGCCUCCUCUGCGAAGUAGUGAUAUUCCGCAUCGGAGAGCGAUGAGCCCCUGCCGUUAAACCCCCAACUUUCCAAGGUUGACCUCAGAUCAGGUAGGAAUACCCGCUGAACUUAAGCAUAUCAAUAAGCGGAGGA